rnacentral:rRNA from 1 species
UACGUAGGGGGCAAGCGUUGUCCGGAAUUCUUGGGCGUAAAGAGCGUGUAGGCGGUCCGGUAAGUCAGCUGUGAAAGUCAAGGGCUCAACCCUUGAAAGCCGGUUGAUACUGUCGGGCUAGAGUCCGGAAGAGGCGAGUGGAAUUCCCGGUGUAGCGGUGAAAUGCGCAGAUAUCGGGAGGAACACCAAUGGCGAAGGCAGCUCGCUGGGACGGUACUGACGCUGAGACGCGAAAGCGUGGGGAGCAAACAGG